AGUCUUGCACAAUGGGGGAAACCCUGAUGCAGCGACGCCGCGUGAACGAUGAAGCCCUUCGGGGUGUAAAGUUCUUUCGACAGGAACGAUAAUGACGGUACCUGGAGAAGAAGCUGCGGCUAACUACGUGCCAGCAGCCGCGGUAAUACGUAGGCAGCGAGCGUUGUUCGGAGUUACUGGGCGUAAAGAGUGCGUAGGCGGCGAGCUAAGUUUGGUGUGAAAUCUCCCGGCUUAACCGGGAGGGUGCGCCGAAAACUGGUUGGCUGGAGUAUGGGAGAGGAAAGCGGAAUUCCUGGUGUAGCGGUGAAAUGCGUAGAUAUCAGGAGGAACACCUGCGGUGUAGACAGCUUUCUGGACCAAAACUGACGCUGAGGCACGAAAGCGUGGGUAGCAAACA
rnacentral:rRNA from 1 species